AAAUAUGGUCAUAAAAAUGAAAGUGAAUUUUAUUUGAUGAGAAUGAUAUGAAAAAAAAAUUAUACGUUAGGUAUUUGAGGAGUCAAUAAACGGGCUGAAUGGAGCCAAGGCCUCUUACAUGUGGUCUAAGGAAAUGUGUUUACAAGAUGUGAGUGAUGCAAUUAAUAGAAUGGAUCUAGCACUGCCAAUGCUGCAGGCUCUCAGGCUAAGCAAAUGGUAUCCCCAUUAUAUUCCCCUUUUUUCCUUUGCCACUGCUUUCUCCUACUCCACUGAAAUGAAUGCCAUGGUAUAGCUUAGAAUAUAUUACCA
rnacentral:lncRNA from 1 species